rnacentral:rRNA from 1 species
AUGAACGCUGGCGGCGUGCCUAACACAUGCAAGUCGAACGAAGCACCUUACCUGAUUCUUCGGAUGAAAGUUUGGUGACUGAGUGGCGGACGGGUGAGUAGCGCGUGGGUAACCUGCCCUGUACAGGGGGAUAACAGCUGGAAACGGCUGCUAAUACCGCAUAAGCGCACGAGGAGACAUCUCCUUGUGUGAAAAACUCCGGUGGUACAGGAUGGGCCCGCGUCUGAUUAGCUGGUUGGCAGGGUAACGGCCUACCAAGGCAACGAUCAGUAGCCGGUCUGAGAGGAUGAACGGCCACAUUGGAACUGAGACACGGUCCAAACUCCUACGGGAGGCAGCAGUGGGGAAUAUUGCACAAUGGGGGAAACCCUGAUGCAGCAACGCCGCGUGAGUGAAGAAGUAUUUCGGUAUGUAAAGCUCUAUCAGCAGGGAAGAUAAUGACGGUACCUGACUAAGAAGCUCCGGCUAAAUACGUG